CCGGCGCACGGGUGAGUAACACGUAUCCAACCUGCCGUCUACUCUUGGACAGCCUUCUGAAAGGAAGAUUAAUACAAGAUGGCAUCAUGAGUUCACAUGUUCACAUGAUUAAAGGUAUUCCGGUAGACGACGGGGAUGCGUUCCAUUAGAUAGUAGGCGGGGUAACGGCCCACCUAGUCUUCGAUGGAUAGGGGUUCUGAGAGGAAGGUCCCCCACAUUGGAACUGAGACACGGUCCAA
rnacentral:rRNA from 1 species